AGGAGAUUGUUGAUCAAGUUCGGGCUGCAGCAGAGACAUGGGGCUUCUUUCAAGUGGUGAAUCACGGUAUUCCCUUAAAUGUGUUGGAAGAGAUGAUUGAAGGGAUAAGCAAGUUUAAUGAACUAGAUGUUGAGUUGAAGAAAGAGUUUUAUACACGUGACCAGACAAGAAAUGUCAGAUUCAACAGCAACUUUGAUCUGCAUUACUCACGAACAGCUAAUUGGCGGGACACGUUGACAAUUUCUACCUUAGCUUCCACCAAUUUAGACCCCAACGAAUACCCAGAAGUUUGCAGGUACAUACUUUGAUCGCUGGCUAUGUAUAGCAUUAUCUCCCAACAUCUGAAUCCGACUGAUUGUUUAAUAUGCAAUUGGAUACACUUUAUGGAAGGCAUUGGGCUUGCUACCACAAGUUCAAAUAAUAAGUUCCUUUGGAGCAAAAUUUGUUGAAGUUGAAAAAGAAAGUCUUAGUUGGGACGAAUAGUUGCUGCAAUAUGCUGAGGUUUUUUCUCAUGCUUGGGUUAUUAAGUUUGUUUAUUGAAUGUGAAAGACACGGUCUGUAAGCAUGUUCUUGUUCCUGCUAAUAUUUCAUUUAAUGUUUCACUAUUUGCUGCUGCAAAUGAGCACCCUACUUUAUGCUCACUUAGGCAUUUAAUCAAACUUCUUCAUAGAUAUUAUCAAACACCUGUGAACUCCUUGUAAUAGACGUGAAAACAAACCAUCAACAGAAAUCAUCAACCAACAACUACAAGAGCAAUUAAUGUGUGGUUCAUUGAAUUGGCUUAUGUACAUCUAAGUUCCUAGCAUUCGAUAUCACAAAAUUGUAAUUCUAAAUGAAUCAACAAUUUUGCAUUUUACAGGUCUAUUGAAAUUAAUUAAUUCGUGAUCACAGUGAUAUUUUUUUCUUUUUACUUUUUUCUGUUAAUACCCAAUUGAUUGUAUCUUCUCCUGUGCCAAUUGUUCUCACAAAUUUGCAGAGAUGCUGCGAGAGAGUACAUUAAAAAUGUCACAAAAUUGGCUGAAACUCUGUUUGAAUUAUUAUCACUGGCUCUUGGGCUGAAGGCUGAACAUUUACUAGAGAUUGGAUGCCCUAAAGAAUACAUCCUUCUCUGCCAAUACUAUCCACCUUGCCCUCAGCCAGAUUUGACAUUGGGAGCUACCGGGCAUUCAGACCCUUCAUUUCUUACCAUUCUUCUGCAAGACCAAAUCGGCGGCCUUCAAGUCUUUCAUGACAAUCAAUGGGUUGGUGUUCAACCCAUUGUGGGAGGCUUAGUGGUAAACAUAGGGGACUUCCUCCAGGUUUGUCUUUCACAAUUGCAAUGACUAUUUUUUCCACCAUCAUGCCAAUCUUCAUCAAUCAUCACGACACUCAUGACUAAUUAGCUGAUGGUGUCUUAAAAUUGAAUCAGAUUAUAUCAAACGACAAGUUCAAGAGUGUUAAACACAGAGUAGUCGCCAGUCAUGUCGGUCCAAGGGUUUCCGUGCCAUGCUUUUUCAUGGGACAUAAUGCAGAAAUCCCAAAGUCUUAUGGGCCGAUCAAAGAGUUGACAUCCGCAGAAAAUCCUCCUAUUUACAGAGAUUUUCGUGCAAGUGAAUAUUUUAGCAAACGAUUUUCUACGGUGCUUGAUGACAAUUCUCCCCUCCAUCAGCUCAAACUAUGAAGCUGGCAAUAUUUGUAUAAAUUACUCGUAUUUGGUAACAACAAUUUACAAAUUGCGGAGUCCUGUUGUGAACUCUUUCCCAAUAAUUCCGAAAAAAAUAUGUUUUAACUAAUUAAUAACGUAUGAAUCAUCCAAUGUUGCUCUUUGAUUUCUUCAAUUAUUAGAAUGUCCCUACUGCACUGCAGUUCCCCAAUUAGUGUCAAAAUUGCUCAGCCAGCGCUCGUUGUAAUGCUUCGUUUAUUAUUUGAUAUGGAUUAAACGAUUGUUUUAAUCAGAUCAUGAUUCAAGGUCGAUACGAUCACCCUAAGAUCUUGAUUGACCACUAAUGAUGAAAGAAAAAAGAACACAGACUAUCUGAUUUAUGCACUAAACAAAAACAAUCAAUUGAGCACCAAGAACCAGAUUUACGUGGUUCAAUGGAGAUGGCUCAUAUUCAAGGAAGAAUGGGGUAUCAGGAUUUCAUUAAACCUUGAUGUCAAAUUAUACAAUGACACUACAAGUUGCUUGGAACAAGAUGAAGUGACUUUCUCUCUCUAAUUCUUAUAUCUACAGCAUGUAUGAGAUCUCAGUAACCAUGAUGUUGAUCAGCUUGUCAUAACAGCAACAGCUACGCACCAGCGCGACGGGGACCCGGGGAAGAAAAAAAAAACUGUUCCUGUUUGACCAAUUUGACUUAGGUGGCCCAGGUGCGUUGCACGUGAUUACUCAGUACAACAUCAAAACGACAGAAUUCUUAGCCGUUUCACGCUUGCAUUUUUAACGCCAAACGUUACCCUUUUUUUCUCUGUUUCAAAGGGCAAACCACAGGCGUUUUAAUUUGCAGCCUCCUGAUUUGAGAUCUUAUGUCAACGCCGUCGUAAUCCUUACUCCUUAGUCGAUCAGACACCUCAUUCUCUUAUCCUUGAGAUUUAUGAUUUUGCUGUCCCAUGAGCGUAAUAGUUUGGUUUUUUUUUUUUUUUUUCAAUAAAACCACCAAGAGGUGUGGUUAGGUGGACCCCCUGUCUAUAAUGUAAAUGAAUAAUAAAGUAAAUACAUGAGAAAGACAUAAACCAAAAUCUCCUAAAAUAAAUAUAAAUAACACAAGAAUAAAAUUAUCAAAAGGAAGAUAAAAGCCAUCAAUGCUCGCCUCUGAGGUAAGGAACAACAUGCACAUCCAAAUGGAGAGUGCUAGAUACGUCAGCACGAAGAUCUUGAGAACAUAAGAAAUGCCGACUAACCUAAUGAGUGUAGGCUCGAUUGGCCAAAAAAUGGGCAAUAAAAGUAACCCAGAGAAGCACAUGCCUAACAAAAAUAGGAGAGGAAGAUGUCAAAGCACACACCCGACACAACAAAUAAACAUAAUCCCAACGAACAGGACCCUGGGAAUGAAUCCCAGAAAAACUUGUGGCCGAGUCUGACUCUAUGCACAGAGUAACCAAGCUAAGUAGCAAGCUCCAACAUUUCACAAACAACCAUAAGCUCAAGAUAAAAAAUUGGCUGACAGCCAAGAAAAGAUUCAAAAGCAGCUAAAAUCACACUUCGAUGAACUCAUAUAAUACCACCUGACGCAGCCAUUCCAGGAUUGCCCCUAGGGCAACCAUCCACAAUCAGUUUUGCAAUCCCAAUAAGCAGCCUCAUCGAAGAAAGGUAGUAGUUUGUUUAUUUAUUUAACUUUCAUUGGUUUGUGAUUUUUUAGAUGGACUUCAAAUAUGAUACGUCUAUGCAAGUCUCCAUGGAUAUUGAGUUGGACUUCAAAUCUCCAUGCAUAUACUGGACUUAUUGUUUCUAGAAUCCAGAAAAAGUGUAACUAUUGGCAACCCUCUAUAAUCCUUAUAAAACCUGUCUUCUAUGACAAUUACAUUAAAGAACAACAUAAAUCUAACUAAAUUCUUUCAUUUUCUUUCUCUAACUCUUUAUACCUAUAGAACCAAUCCAAUGUUUUUCUUUUUUUUUUUUUCAAACAAACACUUUGUGUUUUAAUUAUUCUUAAUCUACAAAUAAUUUCUCACGCUUAUCGAUGAUCUCCUCGUCCAUUUUCAAUUUCUUGUAUAACCUUGAACAAUAAAUUUUUUUAAAAUUACAGAUAAUCCACUUUUAACCUUAGUUAAUUCCAACAUACGUGAUUUUACUUUUAAGAGUUAAAUAUAUAUAAUUUAAUCGUUAAAAAAGUUGUUCGAGAAACAUAUAUUUGGAGUUGAGUGGAAGAAGUUGAAAAAAUAGAAAAAAAAGAUAUUUAAUAGAAAAGGGACUUUAAAAGGAAAUUACAGGGUGCUAAUAGUCCUACUUUCUUAGACAAAGUAGAGGAAUGGGCAAAUCUAGAUCAAUUCUUUGUAGAGUUAUUGUGUAGAAAUGUGUCAAACAACGAUGCAAGAUAAUAACAAAUAAAGGAGAGAAAGAAAAUGUCACAAAAGAAUUUAUGUGGUUCAAUAAAUUGCCUACAUCCAAGGCAGGGAGAAUUCAAAUAUCCACUAAUAUGACAAAGGUGGAAUACAACUAUCUCAAUGUUACUUCUCAAAUUCUCAAUACACCUUUUUUUCUCAAUUCACAAGUAUCAAAGAAAGAACACUCAAGUUAUUUGAAUUCCUCAAAUAGGAAUUGAACCUCGCAAAUGCUUACUGGAAGCUCUUAAUUAAUGCUUAUAGGAAGCUCACAUUUGUUUUUCUUCGAUACUUAAACAAAUGGAACCAUGAGCUAUUUAUAGCCAAUUUGCAAACAAUGGCCACAUUAUUUUAAUCCAAAGUGGUUACCUAACUUGGCCAUUUUUUUGCCAAAAUGCUCCACUAACAACUAUUUAAUGGCACCUACUUUGGCCACUAUCAAUUGUGGGCUUACUUUUACCUAAUUGCUCCACUAACAAAUGUUGAAUCGCUAAAUGGAAGCCACAUCGCCAACAAUCUCCACCUUGGCUUCAAAUUUUAUGUCGUCAACAUUUCCUACUGGAGCAAUUAGGUAAAGUAAGCCAAAAAUUGAAAGUGGCCAAAUUAGGUGGCAUUAAAUAAUUGUUAGUGGAGCAUUUUGGCAAAGGAAAUGGCCAAGUUAGUUAACCACUUUGGAUUAAAAUAAUGUGGCCAUUGUUUGCAAAUUGGCCAUAAAUAGCUUAUGGUUCCAUUUGUUUAAGUAUCGAAGAAAAACAAUUGUGAGCUUCUUACAAGCAUUAAUUAAGAGCUUUCAGUAACUAUUUGUGAGGUUCAAUUCCUACUUGAGGAAUUCAAAUAACCUGAGUGUUCUUUCUUCAAUACUUGUGAAUUGAGAGAAAGGGUUAAUUAGAAAUUUGAGAAGUGAGACAGUUGUAUUUCACAUUUGUCAUAUUAGUGGAAAUUUGAAUUGUCCCUCCCGUGGAUGUAGGUACUUUUUUUUUUUAAUCUCUUUUUCUUUCUUUCCUUUAUUUGGGAUCUAUAGUGUUGGUAAAGACAGUGUUGACAAAUGCUAAAGUUGAAGUUGAAAAAUUUAAUGGAACCGACAACUUCAGUAUGUGGCAAUGCGAGAUAAUAUCAAAUAAAGGAGAUAAAGGAAAUGACACCAAAAAAAAAAAAAAUUACGUGGUUUGGCAAAUUGCCUACAUGCAUGGGAGGGAAAAUUUAAAUGUCUAUUAAUAUGACAAAGGUGGAAUAGAACUCUCUCAAGCUUACUUCCUAAAUUCUCAAUACACCCUUUCUCUCAAUUCACAAGUAUCAAAGAAAGAAUACUCAAAUUGUUCGAAUUCCUCAAAUAGGAAUUGAACCUCGGAGAUAGUCACUAAAAGCUCUUAACUAAUACUUUUAGGAAGCUCACAAUAGUUUGUCUUCGAUACUCAAACAAAUGGAACCGUAGGCUAUUUAUAGCCAAUUUUUCAAACAAUGGCCAUAUCUUAAUCCAAAGUGGUUAUCUAGCAUGACCAUUUCUUUUACCAAAAUGCUCCAUUAAUGAUUAUUUUAUGGCACCUAAUUUGACCACUAUCAAUUGUUGGCUUACUUUCCCUAAUUGCUCCACUAACAAAUGUUGAAUAGCUAAAUGGAAGCCACAUUGCCAAGUGCCAACAAUAGUGAAGCUCCUAACGCUAUUUUAAAACUGUAGGAAACCCCACUUAUUAUAUAUAUAUAACUCUUAUUUUGAUGAAAUUUUUAGAAAGGGACAAAAGGUCAUAAUAGAGUUUAAUUAAUUAACAAACAAUUUUUUUAUAAUAAAAACAUAUAAUUUUUUACUAUAUUGCCACAAAUUUAUGUUGUUUUAAAAUAAUUAUUUAUAUCAUGUAAAGAUUGAGUUCAUGAUUUAUAAAUAUAAAAAUAUUUUAAUCUAGUUAAAUUCAUAUUUAUUAAUAUAAGGUUUUAUGAUAAUUUUUUAAAAAGUGCGCAACGACUAUUUAAAAACUAUUUCAUCAAGCCACGAGGACAAUUAAUUGGACCUUUUUAAUGUAAAAUGCCCAAUUUUGAAAAAUUCCAGCUAAGUGGCAAAACUAAAAGCAAUGCCUUGAACAAUUUGGCACCAUGGCCUCCCUAGGUUUCCUUAAUCUACAAAUAUUAAAGCGAACCAUGAAUUAUUUGUCUCUGUUUCCAAGUAUUAGGUAGAAUUAAUGUACUAGGCAUUUUAGCUUAGGAAAUCCUCUAUAUAUAUAUAUAUAACACAAAAAAAUCAAACACGUGAUUUGAAAAUUUUUAAAAGUAUUAAAAAUGUUUAGAAAUAUAUAAUAGAUAGAUUCAGCCCAGGAUAUCGUAUGAUAUUAAUGACAACGAGACAAAGGCUUGAAAAAUCAAACAUGAAAGACACAUUUCCCCCCGGCAAGAUGCCUAAUAUUUACAAUGCUUUGGUAGUUAAGAGUCGAGACACAACGACAUGAAAAAUCAAAGCAAAUGAUGAUGUGUUUCAAAAGUUUAUCUUUUCUGUGAGUGAAAGGACUCGAUAAAGUAGAAAUCGAACGACGACUGAUCUCUGGUAAACAUCUAUAGGUACGCAACAAAUAUUUACCAACUAACUAAAUUAAGAUUAUGUUUGAGAAAUCAAACAUAAUUUGGAAAAUAAUUAGUGUUGCAAAUAUUUAUCCUUUCUGUGAUUGAAAGAACUCGAUAAAUAGCAACUCAAUGAUAAUUGAUCUCUGGUAAAUAUCUAUAGGUGAACACAGAUACUUGCCAGCUAACUUAAGAUUAAGUUAGUAUGAAGUAUAUAUUUUAAAAUAUACCAAAAUUUCCAAGUAGUAUCCCAAUAUUUCUAAUCCAAGUGCUGACCAUUCAAUAGAUGAAUGCCUCCUCACUUAAGAUGAUUAGAGGUAGAAAAAUGAUAUUUAUUCAUAAUGAUUAAAGAACAGGCCAUAGAAACAAUUAUAAAACCAUAUGGCAUUAACGUGUUUUUCAUUAAUUUUUUUAAUUAAUUGUAACACCAUAUGGUGUUAACUUAUUUUUAUCAUUAUCUUUUUUCAUAACUGUAGGACCAUAGAGUAUUAACGUGUACUCUAUAGCCAUUAUGAAAUAUUUUCCUGGAUGAUGAAUAUUAUUAGGUAAGAUACUGUAAAAAAACAAAAUGAAAAUGAUAAAAUAAUCUAAUCAAGAUCGUUCUCAAUCAUACUCUAAAUCUAUCAAAUAAUGUCCCUUAAAGAAACAGUCCACAAAGCCUUCUUCUAGAUAUCAAUGUUUAUUACUCCAAAAUUUUUCCUGAAAACGCAGUUUAAAGAGGAAAAAAAAAAUAGUGGGAAACAACAAUAGAAUCUGUGAAGUUGACAACAAUUAUGGCAUUUUCCAGUAAUUGAGAAAUUUAAUCAUAAGUAAUAUAAGAACUUUCUCACAAGUCAUGCCGGAUAUUACUGUAUUAGAAUAAAUAAGCCAUUAGAUGCCCACAAUCGUCAUCGUUUUCUUGCAGGAACGGAAAAUGGUUAUCUCGGAUGACACCAAAACAUCUUCUGAAAAUGGGUCGGAAAUCGACAGAGAGCGAAAGGUUUUUGAUGAUACGAAAGCCGGUGUCAAAGGACUAGUGGACGCUGGAGUAGUGAAUAUUCCCAGGAUAUUCAUUCGACAACCUGAAGAGCUUGCUCAGGAGUUGACCACUCACCGGACCAAACUACAACUGCCAGUUGUCGAUCUUGAUGGCAUCAAAGACAAUAAACUUGAAGACAUUGUUGAUCAAGUUCGGGCUGCGUCCGAAACAUGGGGCUUUUUCAAAGUUAUUAAUUAUGGGGUUUCCUUAAACCUGAUACAAGAGAUGAUUGAAGGAGUUCACAAGUUUAAUGAACAAGAUGUUGAGGUGAAGAAACAGUUCUACACACGUGAGCCCACGAGAAAUGUUUGAUUCAACAGCACAUUGAUAUCUAUCACUCACGAACUGCAAGUUGGAGGGACACGUUGGCUAUUUUUAUUUCGGGUACCAAAAGUUUGGAACCCAACGAUAUGCCCCAAGUUCGCAGGUAAAUGUAUAAUCGAUCCUGUCUCUGUAUAUAUAUUGCUGGUUAAUGCAGAGCCUUUUUUGUAAUGUUGAGUGCACUGCAACCAAUGAUCAUGAGUGGUGAUAUCAUAUUCUUCUGUACAAUCGUUCAUCCCAAUUUGCAGAGACACCAUAAUGGAGUACAUAAGAGAAGUCACAAAAUUGGGUGAGUUCUGUUUGAAAUACUAUCAAUGGCUCUAGGAUUGAAGCCUGAAUAUUUGAAAGAUAUGGGAUGCUUCAAUUUAUACCUCAUUGUCUGCAACUACCAUCCGCACUGCCCACAGCCAGAGCUGACUUUGGGAGCUAGAAGGCACUCUGAUCCUCAUUCCUUACAAUUCUGUUGCAAGACCAAAUCUGUGGCCUUCAAGUCUUUCAUGAAAAUCCAUGAAAAUCAGUGGAUUGAUGUUAACCCUAUAUCAGGAGACUUGAUAGUAAAUAUAGGGGGCUUUCUCUAGGUUUGUCUUUGAAAAUAAUAGAGACAACUAAUCUUCCCAUCAUCUGCUUAAUUUUCGUGUUUUAAUAGUAACUAUAUAUGCUAAUUAAUGUUUUCAAUAAUUAAUUAAUUCAGGUUAUAUCAAACGAUAAGCUCAAGAGUGUUGACCAUAGAGUCGUGGCCAAUGUUCAUGCCACUGCAAGGGUUGCUGUGGCAUGCUUUUUCACAGGACAUGCUGCUGAAGCGCAGAAGCCCUUUGGACCGAUCAAAGAGUUGAUCUCUGAAGAAAAUCCACCUGUUUACAGAGAAUUUCUAGUGGGAGAAUAUAUGAGCAAAUGCUUUUCCAGAGAACUUCAAAGCAAAUCUGCUGGCCUCGAGCAGUUCAAGCUUUAAAAGCAGCAGUAUACUUGAAUAGAGUUCUCAAAUGCUGUAAAUUGAGUAUGUACUAAUGUUAAUAUCUGCCCUUGCCAAUAAUUUCAAACUACAUGUUUCAAAUAAGUAAGAGAUUUUAGAGUAUAUUAGAAGUACUACACUUAAUUAAUUGUUAAUUAUAUCUAAUUAAACUACACAUGCUAUAUAUAUAUAUAUAUAUAUAUAUAUAUUAAAUGUAGUACUUUUUAUGUACUCUUGACUCCGUUCCUGUGUUUGUAGCAUCUUAUAUCUAUUGACAAGUUGAAAACUGUAGAGCACCGUGCUUAUAUCUAAUGACAAGUAAGCAAAAGAUCUAGACUGUACAGCACCGUGCUUUGGCAAAUCAUAUUGGCCCCAGAGUAUCUGUGGCUUGCUUUUUCACACCACAUCCUUAUCUGUGGCUUGCUUUUUAGCCAAGUGGAUGGUUGUGCUGGAGCCGUACUGGUGCACAUUGACAUCCAUGUGCUUCUCAAUGUUUGCCUUCACGCGUCGAAGUUGGAUUUGAAAGAAAAAGCAGAUGAACGAAAAACCAAUUAUGACGUUUAUUUACUUCUGGAAGGAAAAUUAUUUGAAUAUCUCUGCUGGAAGUUAACAUCCUUGAAUCCUUGACUGCGAGUGCAAUGGUGUGAUCUCUAUCAAGCAAUAAGUAAGCUUGAUUUUAAGCCAGGCCGUUUACAAAUUAUAACUAUCCAAUGUUUAUGCUCAUUAAUUAUUUUUGAUACUUAGUUGAAAAGUAUUAAUAUAAGCCAUAAGACUACCAUCUAUGCUCAUCAUUUUCUUGUCGAAAACAGACAAUGGAUAUCUCCGAUGCCAGUAGAACGACCACGCAAACUGUGACGGACUACGACAGAGCUAAAGAGGUUCAGGCUUUUGAUGAUACAAAAGCCGGUGUCAAAGGAUUAGUGGAUGCUGGAAUUGUGAAUAUUCCGAGGAUAUUCAUUCGACCGCCUGAGGAGCUUGUCGAGGAGUUGACCAGUCAUCAGACCAAUUCUCAAGUACCGGUUAUCGAUCUUGAUGGCGUCAGAGGCAAUAAGCUUGAGGAGAUUGUUGAUCAAGUUCGGGCUGCAGCAGAGACAUGGGGCUUCUUUCAAGUGGUGAAUCACGGUAUUCCCUUAAAUGUGUUGGAAGAGAUUAUUGAAGGGAUACGCAAGUUUAAUGAACAAGACGUUGAGUUGAAGAAAGAGUUUUAUACCCGUGACCGGGCAAGAAAUGUCAGAUUCAACAGCAACUUUGAUCUGCAUUACUCCCGGACAGCUAAUUGGAGGGACACGUUG
rnacentral:lncRNA from 1 species